AUUGUUCGCUGGCGGCAUGCCUUACACAUGCAAGUCGAACGGCAGCACGGAGCUUGCUCUGGUGGCGAGUGGCGAACGGGUGAGUAAUAUAUCGGAACGUACCCUAGAGUGGGGGAUAACGUAGCGAAAGUUACGCUAAUACCGCAUACGAUCUAAGGAUGAAAGUGGGGGAUCGCAAGACCUCAUGCUCGUGGAGCGGCCGAUAUCUGAUUAGCUAGUUGGUAGGGUAAAAGCCUACCAAGGCAUCGAUCAGUAGCUGGUCUGAGAGGACGACCAGCCACACUGGAACUGAGACACGGUCCAGACUCCUACGGGAGGCAGCAGUGGGGAAUUUUGGACAAUGGGCGAAAGCCUGAUCCAGCAAUGCCGCGUGAGUGAAGAAGGCCUUCGGGUUGUAAAGCUCUUUUGUCAGGGAAGAAACGGUGAGAGCUAAUAUCUCUUGCUAAUGACGGUACCUGAAGAAUAAGCACCGGCUAACUACGUGCCAGCAGCCGCGGUAAUACGUAGGGUGCAAGCGUUAAUCGGAAUUACUGGGCGUAAAGCGUGCGCAGGCGGUUUUGUAAGUCUGAUGUGAAAUCCCCGGGCUCAACCUGGGAAUUGCAUUGGAGACUGCAAAGCUAGAAUCUGGCAGAGGGGGGUAGAAAUCCCACGUGUAGCAGUGAAAAGCGUAGAUAUGUGGGGGAACACCGAUGGCGAAGGCAGCCCCCUGGGUCAAGAUUGACGCUCAUGCACGAAAGCGUGGGGAGCAAACAGGAUUAGAUACCCUGGUAGUCCACGCCCUAAACGAUGUCUACUAGUUGUCGGGUCUUAAUUGACUUGGUAACGCAGCUAACGCGUGAAGUAGACCGCCUGGGGAGUACGGUCGCAAGAUUAAAACUCAAAGGAAUUGACGGGGACCCGCACAAGCGGUGGAUGAUGUGGAUUAAUUCGAUGCAACGCGAAAAACCUUACCUACCCUUGACAUGGCUGGAAUCCCCGAGAGAUUGGGGAGUGCUCGAAAGAGAACCAGUACACAGGUGCUGCAUGGCUGUCGUCAGCUCGUGUCGUGAGAUGUUGGGUUAAGUCCCGCAACGAGCGCAACCCUUGUCAUUAGUUGCUACGAAAGGGCACUCUAAUGAGACUGCCGGUGACAAACCGGAGGAAGGUGGGGAUGACGUUAAGUCCUCAUGGCCCUUAUGGGUAGGGCUUCACACGUCAUACAAUGGUACAUACAGAGCGCCGCCAACCCGCGAGGGGGAGCUAAUCGCAGAAAGUGUAUCGUAGUCCGGAUUGUAGUCUGCAACUCGACUGCAUGAAGUUGGAAUCGCUAGUAAUCGCGGAUCAACAUGUCGCGGUGAAUACGUUCCCGGGUCU
rnacentral:rRNA from 1 species